UUCGCAAUGCCCGAAAGGGUGACGAAGCGACGCCGCGUGCGGGAAGAAGGCCUUCGGGUUGUAAACCGCUGUCGGGAGUUAAGAAGUGCAGGGAUGUUAAUAGCAUCCUUGCUUGACUAAGGCUCCGGAGGAAGCCACGGCUAACUCUGUGCCAGCAGCCGCGGUAAUACAGAGGUGGCAAGCGUUGUUCGGUAUUAUUGGGCGUAAAGAGCACGUAGGUGGUUUUGUAAGUCAGGUGUGAAAGCCUUCUGUUCAAAGGGAGAACGGCAUCUGAAACUGCAGAUCUUGAGUGUAGGAGGGGAGAGUGGAACUUCUGGUGGAGCGGUGAAAUGCGUAGAUAUCAGAAGGAACGUCGGCGGCGAAAGCGACUCUCUGGCCUAUUACUGACACUGAGUGUGCGAAAGUUAGGGGAGCAAACGGGAUUAGAUACCCCGGUAGUCCUAGCCGUAAACGAUGGGCACUAAGUAGAGGGGUUUU
rnacentral:rRNA from 1 species